rnacentral:rRNA from 1 species
AGGACGAACGCUGGCGGCGUGCUUAACACAUGCAAGUCGAACGAUGAUCCGGUUUCGGCCGGGGAUUAGUGGCGAACGGGUGAGUAACACGUGGGCAACCUGCCCUCCACUCUGGGAUAACUCCGGGAAACCGGGGCUAAUACUGGAUAUGAUCUUCGGGCGCAUGCCUGGGGGUGGAAAGUUUUUCGGUGGAGGAUGGGCCCGCGGCCUAUCAGCUUGUUGGUGGGGUGAUGGCCUACCAAGGCGGUGACGGGU